rnacentral:lncRNA from 1 species
CGGGGCGGCGCUGCCACCCCACCUGGGUCUCUGCGGGGAGCCAGGAGCUAUAAUCCUAUUUAUUGCCCCGGGUGCGAGCCGUGUGCCAUCGCUGACGCACGGCAGCAGCUAAGCGGCGCAGAGACUUCAUAACCCCCUUUGAGGUGGCCCACAGUGCUGUUUGGUUCAUGAAGCCGGGCUCUAAGUAUUUCUGGAGAGUGACCAGUACAGCGAGGCUCCUGUGCGCUGUGACAGUGCAAGCUGCACAUGUGCAAGCCCCUAACCUGCAGUAUCAAGUCUAACCGUUACCCUCUGGACAUGGAUUACAAGCCCGGGGUUCCAGUGCUCGGAUCACAAAAAGAAUUGAUUCUCCUGGGUGUAAGGAGAAGGGAGCUACAGAACAAGAAACUGCUGUGCAGAAAUUGCUUCAGUCUACCUCCUGAAGCAAUUUCGGCACAGCAGUCAGGCCCCAAAACACUCUGUAUGCAACCUCCUUUGGAAAUGGACUAGUAUCCUGGACCAGCUAUAAGAAGUAAAGGAAAAGAUAUUGGAAAUAUAAUAAGAAGGCUGGAAUGAUAUUAACCUCUUCUAGAACUGUUCGUUAAGUCCUGCACACUUGUGGAGCAUUAUUUGAACCAUCCAGUGUAACAGAACAGUGAGUUAUUAAUACUGCUGUAGAAUUUUUCUAGAUGAUUAAAAAACAUAUGUGCAUGUUAAUAUUCUCUGUUAGUCUGUAGAAUUCUGUAAGAUAUUUCUCUAAAACCACAUUGGCUCAUUCCUGUUACAUUUUUAGGGCUGUUUUGUCAGAGAGGAUUACAGUAAUGUUAUAUACUGGAUAACUCGGCGGUCUUCAUCAAAGCAUUUGAGCAUUUGGGAGAAUAUCCACCUUUUCUGAGGAAUAAUCUUAUAUUAUAGGAAACAGG